rnacentral:tmRNA from 1 species
GGGGACGACACUGGUUUCGACUGUUACAGUCUUCGAUGUAGUGGCAUGUAGGGGUGAGGGACCUCUUAAAAACCUUCAAAAAAACAAACGCUAACAACGAAUUAGCAUUAGCAGCUUAAUUUAAGCUGUUUCGAUUUUAGAGUCUUAUUCUCUCGGUGGAUUUUAAAAUCGUCACUAAACGAGAGGCGAAAUUUCUGAUGGCUGGUUUUUGGAAAUUUUUGUAAACAAAUCAGCUGGAAGUGGAUUACCUGGUUUUCGGUGAAACCUCUUCGAGAUUUAUAGAAGACCUAAACUUGUAGAGGCUACAUUAGAGCUUAAUAGGACGGGGGUUCGAUUCCCCCCGUCUCCAUUU